rnacentral:rRNA from 1 species
GAGUUUGAUCAUGGCUCAGGAUAAACGCUGGCGGCGUGCCUAACACAUGCAAGUCGAACGUCCUGUGGUCCGCAAGGACUACAGGGAGUGGCAGACGGGUGAGGAACACGUGGGGACCUACCCCGUGGUGAGGAAUACCGGCGAGAAAUCGCCGACAAGACCGCAUAGGCUUGGCUGUUGCAAGCCAAGCAAAGCUCCCGCAAGGGGGCGCCACGGGAGGGGCUCGCGCCCGAUUAGUUGGUUGGUGGGGUAACGGCUCACCAAGACGACGAUCGGUAGCUGGUCUGAGAGGAUGAUCAGCCACACUGGGAUUGAGAACGGCCCAGACUCCUACGGGGGGCAGCAGUGAGGAAUUUUCCGCAAUGGAGGCAACUCUGACGGAGCAACGCCGCGUGCAGGAGGACGGUCUUCGGAUUGUAAACUGCUUUUCUCGGGGACGAGUACGGACGGUACCUGAGGAACAAGCCCCGGCUAACUACGUGCCAGCAGCCGCGGUAAUACGUAGGGGGCCAGCGUUGUCCGGAGUUACUGGGCGUAAAGGGCCCGCAGGCGGUGCGGCGCAUUCCCGGUUCCAGCCGGUCGCUUAACGACCGGAGCGCCGGGACGAUGGCCGGACUUGAGCCCCAGAGAGGGACACGGAACUCCGGGUGGAGCGGUGAAAUGCGUAGAGAUCCGGAAGAACACCAAAGGCGAAGGCAGUGUCCUGGCUGGGGGCUGACGCUGAGGGGCGAGAGCUAGGGGAGCGAACGGGAUUAGAUACCCCGGUAGUCCUAGCCGUAAACGAUGACCACCAGGUGUGCGAGGGAUCGACCCCUUGCGCGCCGUCGCUAACGCAGUAAGUGGUCCGCCUGGGGAGUACGGUCGCAAGAUUAAAACUCAAAGGAAUUGACGGGGACCCGCACAAGCAGCGGAGCGUGUGGUUUAAUUCGAUGCAACGCGAAGAACCUUACCAGGGGUUGACAUGUCGUCGCACCGUCCAGAGAUGGGCGUGCCCGCAAGGGACGGCGACACAGGUGCUGCAUGGCUGUCGUCAGCUCGUGCCGUGAGGUGUUGGGUUAAGUCCCGCAACGAGCGCAACCCUCAUUGCCGGUUGAAGCUGUCCGGCGAGACUGCCACGAUCAACGUGGAGGAAGGUGGGGAUGACGUCAAGUCAGCACGGCCCUGACCUCCUGGGCGACACACACGCUACAAUGGUCCAGACAACGAGUCGCCAACCCGCGAGGGGGAGCCAAUCUCAGCAAACUGGAUCUCAGUUCAGAUUGGAGGCUGCAACCCGCCUCCAUGAAGUCGGAGUUGCUAGUAACCGUGAGUCAGCACAUCACGGUGAAUACGUUCCCGGGUCUUGUACACACCGCCCGUCACACCACGAAAGUCGGCAACACCUGAAGCCGCUGGGCUAACCCAGACGGGAGGCAAGCGUCGAGGGUGGGGUCGGUGAUUGGGGUGAAGUCGUAACAAGGUAGC